ACGCUUGAAGUCAGUCGCGUCGGCUAGAAAUCAGCCUUGCUUUUGCUUGGUGUACUUUCUGGUUGAUGGGUCAGCAUCAAUUUUGAUCAUUGGAUAAAGUCGUUGGGAAUGUGGCAUCUUAGGAUGUGUUAUAGCCCAUUGUCGCAUACAGUGGUUGGGAUUGAGGAACUCAGCACGCCGCAAGGCCGGGUCUUUUUGACCACGUUCGUGCUUAGGAUGCUGGCAUAAUGGCUUUAAUCGACCCGUCUUGAAACACGGACCAAGGAGUC
rnacentral:rRNA from 1 species